rnacentral:lncRNA from 1 species
UUGCCAUGCCUCUGCCGAUGAACUCCGGGAGACAGUCUGUGACCUGGGCGAUCAUGGGGAUGUCGUGAACCUCAUCAUAGUCAGCGAUCCUGAGAGGAUGUAGAGUUGUGAAAUGGAAAAGACAUCAGUUAUGGGUCCAUGUAGGCACCUCAUACCAGGAGAAGAUGAGCUUCCCAGAGUGGUGACUUCACAUGUCUCUGUAAUUAUGCUCAGCAGGCUCAAUAACCACUGGAAAACAAAGGAGGCCACAGGGCUAGUUAAGGACAGGUGUAGAAAAACUGACUCUUGGUAGGCAUACAGUUCAACUGGUGUGAGCCCAAGUGACUGACAUUCUAGAGAAUGCCUACGGUCUUCCAACGGUCAGUGCAAUGGGCAGUCGGCACGUCUUACGAGGAAAUGAAGCGUGUUGGAUAAGCAGACCAAACAGCUGUGAGAACGCUGCCACUGUGAGAGCUUUAAGUGGCCUCAAUUCCUCUUUUUUGAAGUACACUUUAUGUUUUACAAUAAUUUGAGAUGUACAGAAAAGCUGCAAGGAUACCACAGAGUGUCCCUCAGUGUCCCCCACUGUUAACAUCACAUUAUAAUAGUAUGUUUGCCACAACUAGGAAACCAA